ensembl:lncRNA
AUUUAAUAUAAAUGGAACCAUAUAACAUGCAGUGCAGCCAGGAGAUGCCCAUGACGGUGGACUUGUACGAGACUGUCCGCCAGUCCCCUGCCCUCCGGGACCACAGUGCCCCGCGCUUCAGUCGUGCUGUCUGCACGGGAGUGGCCGCAUCAUCAGAAUCGAGCGAGGGACCAGGAGGGUCAGUUCCAGUUCUUGGGUUGUGGAAGCAGGGAAGCCCAGGAGGGUGUCGUGAGUCACCUCGUCAGGUACCCAGAUCAGCAGCCAAGAGGCCGUAGAUACUCAGCGAAAGUCCAGCAGCCCUGCCGGCAUCCUCUCUCUUCGCAUCGAUUGACGAAGCUCUCGCUGUUGCCUCCACGCCUUCACACGCGCUGUUCCCACAGCCCUGUCCUCCAUCCGUCUGCUUUGGCGUUUCUCUUCUUCUUCAGAGAGCCCCGCUUCUCAGAAGUCUUCCUUGACCAGCCCUUCUCCCCACAGCCCCUAGACAGACCAGGAAGCUGUCUUCAGUCCCUUCUCCGUGUCUGGGGCCCAGCGGCUGAGCAGGUCUCUGGGAUCACACCAUGAGCGGUGGUCGAGCAGUUACAUGACUGUCAGCCCCGGUGGGGCUGUGAGCAGACCUGGGAGGGGCCGGUUCCUCUGCUCCGAGACCUCGGACUCUCACUGUGCUCAGGUGUGAAACAGCGGUUGAGGUAGACAUCUCCCGGACAAGGGACAAGUACCCAGAGGAGCCUGCGUCUGCAGGGAGCCCGGCCUGACACUUCAGAGCCAGCUGCCUGGACCCACCCAUCGGAGAACUGCAAACUGCUUAGCUGGCGGCCCCUGCGAAAGAACUCAGAAACACCACACCCUCCUACGCGUUCAAAAAUUGACAUCGACAAUGUCGAAGCUAAAGUGGGUACACAGGGUGUACUUUUUGGGGUAUGUUAAAUAUGGACACUGUCAGCUUGAACUGUUUGAUCACUCCAGGUUACACAUCCCUUGAAGCUGAAGAGCAUAGUGGCCCCACCAGAACUCGUGUAGACAGCACACAAACGAGCUCCUCUGUAUUGAGGUUUCGCCUCAGUUUCUCUGAAACUUGUCUUCAGUUCCGCUUCUCUCAAAAGCUUUUAGCCCAGUGUAAUUUAUUCUUGUGGGCUUCCCUGGUGGCUCAGUGGUAAAGAAUCCACCUGCCAACGCAGGAGACGCAGGUUUGAUCCCUGGGUCAGGAAGAUCCCCUGGAGAAGGAAAUGGCAACCCACUCCAGUACUCUUGCCUGGAGAAUCCCAUGGACAGAGGAGCCUAGUGGGCUACGGUCCAUGGGGUCGAAGAGUCAGACACCACUUAGCAACUAAACAACCACAAUACACUUUAAAAAUAUAUAUAUUUAUUUGACUUUGCUGGGUCUUAGCUGUGGCAUGUGGGAUCUGGUUUCCUGACCAGGGAUUGAACUCAGGCCCCUUGCAUUGGGAGUGCAGAGUCUUAACCACUGGACCCCCAGGGAAGUCCUCAACAGUAUAUUCUCAUGCCUGAAAGUCGCUUACUGAUCACACCAUCUUCUCUGUGACAACUAUGGAUGUAAACCAGUUUUAAAUUUUUAAAAAUUUUCUGUGCUCCUAAGUCACUAAGUGCAAACUGUUAUUCUGCAAAGGUAUAAUCACAAAUACUAGUAUGUGAUUGGUCAAAACUAUAAAUAUUAUAAGUUUUGAUAGAUACUGAUUACACAAAGUAUUAUUUCACAUGACAUUUUUAAUGGUUUAACUGGAUUUCCCCCGUCUUGUGUACUAGUAGAGAAGUAUUACUUAUCUCUACAGCUUCAUCUCUUCUUCAUUCUUAUUUUUACGGCUAUAAGCACUCAGAAAUCUUGUCACAUAAAUAAGGAACAGAAAAGAAAGGAAGGAGUCCUGGAGUAACGUUAACCAUGUUACCUCCGUUUGCGUUUUACACCAGAAAUCACUAGUAAUCCAUCAGAAAGAGUUAUUUUUUGUUGCCGCCUGGUGCUUGGUAUUAUUAUUUGUGCAUGAUUCCAUUUUUUGUAAUAAAAGUUAAAGACAUUAUGAUUACUCUCUGUUA